CAUGGAUGUGUUAGGUUCCCACUCGUACCAACAUUCACCCGCCAUUACGGCGUGGCUGUGUGUAAAUGUUACGAGCGUACAGGUCUUAAUGGAGACCAUGAAAAGAAGAUUAGCUGGAGCUGUUACAGCAGACUGUCUGGGGACUGCCAUCAUGAGACUGUGGGGACCAGUGCUUGUUGUUAUCCUGCAAACUGGUGCACCUGCAAACUCUUUCUCUAUAUCGUCUGACUUGAUUCGCCACUCCUCCAUCCAGCAGAUAGGAUGGUGGUGGAGUGGUUUUGGCUGCAGAAAGAGUAUCUCCCAUGGGCAGCAAAGCUGCUCCUGUCCCCUCCUCUCCUUGCAGCUGGAGCUACCAAAGCCAGAUGCUACGUAGCUCCACCACCCUCUGUCCCCCCUUUCUCUCUUCCAGGAGGAUGGUGCCCAGAGAGGAGGAUGACAAACGCCUCUGCCUCCUCUUACUGACGGAUUUGGACGACCUGACUCCAGCCCUGCACUGUUCCAACCGCCAGCACAAGAUGUUGACUUAAUGGAAGGGGGUUGGCUGUGGAUUGGCCCAUAUGUGUUUGUAUUGGGAAAAUAUGGCAGGGUGGUGUGUCUAUGUUUUCAAUAGGAGUGUGUGUGUGUGUGUGUGUGUGUGUGUUGUGUGUUCACCUAGCCCAGACUGCCUACAUCCAUCAUGCCAUGGUGCUCUGGCAGAGAGUGGGACUCAGACAGCUUCACUAACACACGGUCAGUUAAAUUGCCUGUUAAAUUGUCCUGGUCUGCAGCUAUCUUAGGUGUAGAUAAAAACACUGCACUUAAAGCCUGCACUUAAAGGCAGAAAUUGUCAAGUAAAUGCCAACCUCCUUCCAUGCAUAGAGAGAGAAAAAAAGAGGGAGAGAGGGAGAGACAGAGCUCCUCUAAGGGAAAGGCAUUUCCAUUACAAGACAAAAUACUGUGACACACACACACACUGUCUAUUGUAGAUGUCACAACUGUUAGCCUACUUAAGAGUUAUUUCUCAACCUAAAAUAUCAACAGUAAUCUUAACAUUUGCAUUGAAUUAUUCUGUUUAUACUCAUGUUAUGACCUAUGUAUAUAAUAGUAUAUGU